UACGGAGGGUGCAAGCGUUGUCCGGAUUUAUUGGGUUUAAAGGGUGCGUAGGCGGCCCUGUAAGUCAGCGGUGAAAUCCCAGGGCUCAACCCUGGAACUGCCGUUGAUACUGCAGGGCUUGAGUUCGGUUAAGGCGGGCGGAACUGGUGGUGUAGCGGUGAAAUGCAUAGAUACCACCAAGAACCCCGAUUGCGUAGGCAGCUCGCUGAGCCGAAACUGACGCUGAGGCACGAAAGCGUGGGGAGCGAACAGGAUUAGAAACCCCCGUAGUCC
rnacentral:rRNA from 1 species